GCCGCGGUGGUGUAGCCUGGAAAGACGGAAGCGGACUGAGUCUGCUUCUUGGGCUGUUAGCACAAGGGACUGUGGAUCCCUUAGCCCGAGUUCAAAUCUCGGCCGUGGCC
rnacentral:tRNA from 1 species